rnacentral:rRNA from 1 species
AACGAACGCUGGCGGCAUGCCUAACACAUGCAAGUCGAACGAGCCCUUCGGGGUUAGUGGCGCACGGGUGCGUAACGCGUGGGAAUCUGCCCUUGGGUUCGGAAUAACAGUGAGAAAUUACUGCUAAUACCAGAUGAUGUCUUCGGACCAAAGAUUUAUCGCCCAAGGAUGAGCCCGCGUAGGAUUAGCUAGUUGGUGGGGUAAUGGCCUACCAAGGCGACGAUCCUUAGCUGGUCUGAGAGGAUGAUCAGCCACACUGGGACUGAGACACGGCCCAGACUCCUACGGGAGGCAGCAGUGGGGAAUAUUGGACAAUGGGCGAAAGCCUGAUCCAGCAAUGCCGCGUGAGUGAUGAAGGCCUUAGGGUUGUAAAGCUCUUUUACCCGGGAUGAUAAUGACAGUACCGGGAGAAUAAGCUCCGGCUAACUCCGUG